AAGUGUGAGGGCGAUCUGGCUGUGACAUCGGUCACUCCAUUGAUCGCCAGGGUUGAUUCGGCUGAUCUGGCUGGCUAGGCAGAUGUCCCCUCCCUCCCUCACUGCUCCAUGUACUUCCCUCCCAAAGCUGUGUGCUUGGUGGAAGAGGACGGCAUCCCAGGUAUAGAAGCAGCGUACCAAGGUCUCCAGUCUUCGAUCCCCUGCUAGAACCCAAAAGAAAGGGAAUGGUAAAUUUCACAUUAAUGCUCCCACCCUGAUUUGAUUUUCUUUGAAGUAAUAAACUGAAGGGUUUG
rnacentral:snRNA from 1 species